UUUGGUGGCGAUAGCGAAGAGGUCACACCCGUUCCCAUACCGAACACGGAAGUUAAGCUCUCUAGCGCCGAUGGUAGUCGGGGGUUUGCCCCUGUGAGAGUAGGACGCCGCCAAGC
rnacentral:rRNA from 1 species